rnacentral:lncRNA from 1 species
UUUGCCCACAUAAAAAUAGAGAACCAAUCUCUUAAUGGAAUUAAAUUUCAACUCACAAUUAUGUAAUUAGUUCCUUUGAGUGUGAUUAAAAUGAUUAAUCCAAUUCUUCCAGCGUGACUUGUAGCUUCAGUUGGUUACACAAUGAUGGCAGCAGGUAACUAGCUUCUGCAGGCCACCCCUGCUGGCUGAUGGGUCGCUAAUUAGUAAAACAGGAAGAGCAGAACAGUUCUUUUCUUUUUUCAGGUGGCCCUGGAGAUUGAACACAGACAGGGUCUUGUACCUGCUCAACAAGGACUCAUCCACUGAGCUACAUCCCCGGCCUGCAGAAUAUUUUUUUGAAGAGCUAAAAAUAUCAAUUCCUGGGUUUUGGAUCAGCUGACAUGGGAAGCUGGGUAAAGUGUACAUGGAAGCCAAGCACAGGAGCAUGUGCCUGUAGUUCCAGCCACUAAGGAGCCUGAAGAAACUUGAACUGAGGAGUUCAAGGCCAGCCUGGGCAAGAUAGCAAGACUCUGUUUCUAAAAAGCAAAGGAGGUACUUGGGAUCCUUAUUUCUUAUACCUGCAUGUGAGUCUAUGAAUUUCAUCUCAAAAUCAAAAUUUAAUUUUAAAAUAUUCAUUUAUUGGUGGCAC